rnacentral:rRNA from 1 species
UGCAAGUCGACGGUGUCUUCGGACACAGUGGCGGACGGGUGAGUAACGCGUGAGAAUCUGGCUUCAGGUCUGGGACAACCACUGGAAACGGUGGCUAAUACCGGAUGUGCCGAGAGGUGAAAGGUUAACUGCCUGAAGAUGAGCUCGCGUCUGAUUAGCUAGUAGGUGUGGUAAAGGCGCACCUAGGCGACGAUCAGUAGCUGGUCUGAGAGGACGAUCAGCCACACUGGGACUGAGACACGGCCCAGACUCCUACGGGAGGCAGCAGUGGGGAAUUUUCCGCAAUGGGCGAAAGCCUGACGGAGCAAUACCGCGUGAGGGAGGAAGGCUCUUGGGUCGUAAACCUCUUUUCUCAGGGAAGAACACAAUGACGGUACCUGAGGAAUAAGCAUCGGCUAACUCCGUGCCAGCAGCCGCGGUAAUACGGAGGAUGCAAGCGUUAUCCGGAAUGAUUGGGCGUAAAGCGUCCGCAGGUGGCGAUGUAAGUCUGCUGUUAAAGAGUCUAGCUCAACUAGAUAAGAGCAGUGGAAACUACAUAGCUAGAGUACGUUCGGGGCAGAGGGAAUUCCUGGUGUAGCGGUGAAAUGCGUAGAGAUCAGGAAGAACACCAGUGGCGAAGGCGCUCUGCUAGGCCGUAACUGACACUGAGGGACGAAAGCUAGGGGAGCGAAUGGGAUUAGAUACCCCAGUAGUCCUAGCCGUAAACGAUGGAUACUAGGCGUGGCUUGUAUCGACCCGAGCCGUGCGUAGCUAACGCGUUAAGUAUCCCGCUG